GGCAUUUCUCAAGUGAUGCACCCUGGAUUCAGGCUCCCUCCUCUCUGGUUCUAGGCGUAUCACCUGAGAACCACA
rfam:Myotis davidii contig174595, whole genome shotgun sequence.